UGGGAUCUUCCUGGACCAGAGAUUGAACCUGCGGCCUCUGCAUUGGCAGGUAGAUGUUCACCCACUGUACCAUCAGGGAAGUCCCAUAUUCUUGAUCAAGUUCAAAGUACAUUCCAAGGUAUUUGUGGAAUAACACACUAUUGAUGCAGAAAAUUUAUCUUUUCACAGGUUCAAAGGAAAGUACACUGCAUCUUGAGUCCUAGAAGUUAACAUAAGUCUAAUAAGUCCCCCCUUAACCUCCAUUUUUUCCCUCCUGAACUACAUUCACAUCUAUGCACCAUUUUCGGUGUUAUACUUUAUAUUCUACUUUGUAACAUGUACAUGUCAUAUUUGAUACUAGUUUGUAAGUUGCUUUCCAAGGUCAGGGCCAUUGCAAACUUGAUUUUCUACUGUCACCCAGCACAGAGUUUUAGGUACUAAUGGUUUAUCAGUUGUGUCUUAAGCUUUUUGGUACAAACCACAAGAUGUGCGCUCAGUAAUUUGAAUUGUCCCUCUAAACUAAUCAGUAAGGUAAGUGUCCUUGUUUCUUCUCAAACUUAAAGUUGAUGGUUAAGACGCCAAGGGAGUCAAAGCAGUAGAUUAUGUUUUAAGUCAAGAAGCAGUUCUUUCAUGUCUAUAAAGAAUCGAUACCAUUAUCCCUUCUGUAAGCAAUCCCUUAGGUUUUAAAUUAUUUAAAUGUUGGUGUUCUGAGUCACUGUUGUUCACUGGUAUUAUCUGAUGUUCUAAUGUAACAGUGAAGCCCGUUAAACCUUAGGUGUCUGGCUUAAUGGCAAGCAUGUGAAGGGAGUUCUUUUUGGAUCGACUCUAAUAAUUUACCAUUUUUAUACUUUAAAUGUAAUACAGUGGCAGUGUAGAGCCAACUAAGAUCUGAUAGCAAGAAGAAAAUCUUUGUUUCCUUUAUUGCAACUAUUUUUGACCCCGGCCCCUCCUGGGUCCUUGUUGGGGGUGGGAUGGUAGGAUGGUGUAGUUUGGACAUGGGGAGCUCCUAACUGGGGUCAUAGAUGCUCCUUUGAGAGAAGCCACUGCUCUGAGGAGUGUCACAUUCACUCUGCAUUUUGUUUCCAGUGCCUGCGAGGUAGAAGCUUCCAGGAUGCCUUUGGCCACAUCCCCAGUCCUGGAGGACUGAUAGAAAAGGAAACUUGUCUUUGCAUCUUCAGUAAAUCUGUUCCUGGGAAGAGAGAUUUGGAAGCAAUCAGAUGCCUGGUACUUGGCUAAGAACUGGACCCUACAACAGAUCACAGUGAUUUCCUCAUUUUGCAGAAGGCAGAUUCUUUACUGACUGAGCCACAAGGGAAGCCUGCUAAAACAUGGAAGCCACCCAAUGUCUACUAGCAGAUGAAUAGAGAAGCAAAACUGGAUAGACACAGUGGAAUAUUAUUUGACUUUGAAAAAGAAGGAAAUUCUGACACAUGUUACAACACAGAUGAAGACUUUAUGUUAAGUGAAAAAAGCCAGUCACAAAAAGACAAAUACCGUAUGAAUCCAUGAGGAAUCAUUACAUAACGUCCCUAGAGGAAUCAAGUAAUAGAGACAGAAAGUAGCAUGGUAGGGGCCAGGGUCUGGGGAUAAGGGGAAACAUGGAGUUGUUGAAUAAUAGGGACAGACUUUCAGUUCGGGAAGCUGAGAAAGUUCUAGUGAUGACGGUGGUGAUGGUUUACAACAAUGUGAAUUAACUUAAUGCCACUGAGUGCACACUUAAAAUUGAUUAAAAUGAUAAAGUUUAUGUUAUGUAUAUUUUACCAAGAUAAUAAAGACAUUAUUUCUUUCAA